ACCGCCGGCCGAGCUCAGCCGCGCCCGCGGCCCGCGGCCGCCAUGCAGUUUAUGUUGCUCUUUAGUCGUCAGGGAAAGCUUCGACUGCAGAAAUGGUAUGUCCCACUAUCAGACAAAGAGAAGAAAAAGAUUACAAGAGAACUUGUUCAAACCGUUUUAGCACGGAAACCUAAAAUGUGCAGCUUUCUUGAGUGGCGAGAUCUGAAGAUUGUUUACAAAAGAUAUGCUAGUCUGUAUUUUUGCUGUGCUAUCGAGGAUCAGGACAAUGAGCUAAUUACCCUGGAAAUAAUUCAUCGUUACGUGGAAUUACUUGACAAGUACUUCGGCAGUGUGUGUGAACUUGAUAUCAUCUUUAAUUUUGAGAAGGCUUAUUUUAUUUUGGAUGAGUUUCUUUUGGGAGGGGAAGUUCAGGAAACAUCCAAGAAAAAUGUCCUUAAAGCAAUUGAGCAGGCUGAUCUACUGCAGGAGAGCCAGAAUGAAGAAUGGGGAGGUUUGUCUGAGGAUAUCUUAUGAUAAAGAGCAGUCUAAGGCUUUAGUCCCUUUGACCCCCAACUUAUUUAUUGGAUGCAAAAGAAGCUGAAACCCCACGUAGUGUUCUUGAAGAAAUUGGACUGACAUAACUCUCCUACCUUGUUGAUGACUUCUUGUGGCAUUUCACACACUGUAGAUGGUCACUGCCUUCAUGUCCAUGUUAGCUAAUGGUAUAAGAUGACGUCUUGUCAGUAUUACUGUUUUGCUAAGCUGCUUCAUUCAGGCCUACACAAAUUUUUUUUUUAAAGGGAAUUUUUGGUUAAUCAAGUGAUAACUUAAGGGACUUAAAUACAAAUUAGAACGAUGCAGAAAAAGAAAGGUACCUUUUCUGGAUAUUUUAAAGUUUAUAGAUCUGUUUCUCCCAAUCGAAUCAUGUUAUCUAUGAGAACGACGGAACCAGGCAUUUUACAUUCAUUAAUUACCGUCUUUGGCAAAGGAAACUGUUAAAUUAUAUGCAACCUGGCUUUAUGAAACCAAAGACUAGUGUGUAGCAUUUCAGCAUAUCUGAGAAUAAAGGGAAUCGAUACUCACAUAUCAAAUGAAUUAAAAUUUAACUGUUUAUAUUGAGACUUCAGAAAAAAACCAAAUUUAUACCAAAGACCCUUAUUGGAAACUACAUACUUAAAGGGAACACACAAAUGACUAAAUUGAAAUGAUGCGUUUUACACUAAAAAUUAUUUCUCCAGCAUUGCAAACCGGGGUCGAGGAACAGAGAUUGACUGUUUAAUAGUGAACACGUUACUUUUAAGGCCAAGGAACGUUCAAUUCCUGAGACAGAUUUUUUUCGUGGUCAUAACGAUUUAGUGACUUAGAAAGCUUUC